rnacentral:misc_RNA from 1 species
GAUGAAGAACGCAGCGAAAUGCGAUAAGUAGUGUGAAUUGCAGAAUUCCGUGAAUCAUCGAAUCUUUGAACGCACAUUGCGCCUUCUGGUAUUCCGGAAGGCAUGCCUGUUCGAGAGUCAUUAACAACCGUUUCGAUCCCUUUCUUUCAGAAAUUACAAAGAGGAAAAGGGUUUGGUUAUGGUGGAGGAGGGAAAGGGAGCGUUUAGCCUGUAAAAAAAGAGGCUGUGUUCCGCCUCCCCCCCAAAAUUGUACAGGCGGUCGUGUGCGCCCACGCAUCGAGGUGUUGUAAAAGCUGCCACGGCACUUUUCACCUGUGCAGUGCGAGAUUGGCCAGCCGGUUUAAAAACCCCUCCAAACAAUCAAAGGUUGACGUCGGAUCAGGUAGGGAUACCCGCUGAACUUAAGCAUAUCAAUAAGCGGAGGA